rnacentral:rRNA from 1 species
AAUAGAUACCCUGGUAGUCCACGCCGUAAACGAUGAGUGCUAAGUGUUAGAGGGUUUCCGCCCUUUAGUGCUGCAGCUAACGCAUUAAGCACUCCGCCUGGGGAGUACGGUCGCAAGACUGAAAACUCAAAGGAAGUUGACGGGGGCCCGCACAAGCGGUGGAGCAUGUGGUUUAAUUCGAAGCAACGCGAAGAACCUUACCAGGUCUUGACAUCCUCUGACAACUCUAGAGAUAGAGCGUUCCCCUUCGGGGGACAGAGUGACAGGUGGUGCAUGGUUGUCGUCAGCUCGUGUCGUGAGAUGUUGGGUUAAGUCCCGCAACGAGCGCAACCCUUGAUCUUAGUUGCCAGCAUUUAGUUGGGCACUCUAAGGUGACUGCCGGUGACAAACCGGAGGAAGGUGGGGAUGACGUCAAAUCAUCAUGCCCCUUAUGACCUGGGCUACACACGUGCUACAAUGGAUGGUACAAAAGGGCUGCAAGACCGCGAGGUCAAGCCAAUCCCAUAAAACCAUUCUCAGUUCGGAUUGUAGG